rnacentral:rRNA from 1 species
GUUAAUGUUAUACAGUGAAACUGCGAAUGGCUCAUUAAAACAGUUAUAGUUUAUUUGAUAAUCGAAUCUACAUGGAUAACCGUGGUAAUUCUAGAGCUAAUACAUGCGGCUACGCCUGACUCUCGAGGAAGGGCGGUAUUUAUUAGAUAACAAACCAAUAUUCCCUGUGUCUAUUGUGAUGACUCAUAGUAACUGAUCGAAUCGCAUGGGCCUUGCCCGCGAUGCAUCAUUCAAGUUUCUGCCCCAUCAGCUUUCGAUGGUAGUGUAUUGGACUACCAUGGCGUUAACGGGUAACGGAGGAUUAGGGUUCGAUUCCGGAGAGGGAGCCUGAGAAACGGCUACCACAUCUAAGGAAGGCAGCAGGCGCGUAAAUUACCCAAUCCUGACUCAGGGAGGUAGUGACAAGAAAUAACGGACCGGGACGUACGUCCCGGGAUUGCAAUGAGUAGAAUUUAAACCCCUUUACGAGGACCCAUUGGAGGGCAAGUCUGGUGCCAGCAGCCGCGGUAAUUCCAGCUCCAAUAGCGUAUAUUAAAGUUGUUGCAGUUAAAAAGCUCGUAGUUGGAUUUCUGGGAGGGUGCCGAUGUCCGCCGUUGGCGUGUGCAGAGGCGCCCUGCCAUCCUUCUGUUAGCCUUUCUCGGUAUUCACUUACUGGUUGGGGGCUCAGAUAUUUUACCUUGAGAAAAUUAGAGUGUUUCAGGCAGGCUUGCGCCGGAAUACAUUAGCAUGGAAUAAUAGAAUAGGACUUUGUGUCUCCUUUGU